rnacentral:rRNA from 1 species
GCGUGGGAAUCUACCUAGUAGUGGGGGACAACUUUCGGAAACGGGAGCUAAUACCGCAUACGCCCUACGGGGGAAAGGCAGGGGAGUCUUCGGACCUUGUGCUACUGGAUGAGCCCGCGUCAGAUUAGUUAGUUGGUGGGGUAAUGGCCUACCAAGACGACGAUCUGUAGCUGGUCUGAGAGGAUGAUCAGCCACACUGGAACUGAGACACGGUCCAGACUCCUACGGGAGGCAGCAGUGGGGAAUAUUGCACAAUGGGCGCAAGCCUGAUGCAGCCAUGCCGCGUGUGUGAAGAAGGCU